UCUGGGACAGACGCCAUGGAACCAGCCACCAGGUCAUACAUGCUGAAUCUUUCCCGACUUGCCUAUAGGCCAAUCUGAUGAAGACGAUUCCUUGAGGUUCCUUCUUCCAAGAUGACUUUACAUGGUGUCAAGUUGACGAGCACACUAUGCAGCGUAGCCAGUGAACACAGAAGCUGGUGAUGAAGGGGUGACACCUUCCUAGGAUGCCACAAUAAACUGAAUAAAUCCACCUGUGAGAGUA